UUGAAAGGGAAACGAUUGAAGUCAGUCGUACCAGCGGGAAUCAACCUUUCGAGUGGGGNUUUUGGAGUUUUGAAGAGUGUCAAAACCUUUGAGAUUUCAAAAUUUUCGCUCUUUUGGUGUACUUUCUCGUGGGUAGGUUAACAUCGAUUUUGAUCAUCAUAAAAAGAUUGGAGGAAUGUAGCUUCGAUCUUGUAUUGAAGUGUUAUAGCCUUUGGUAAAUGUGAUGAUUAGGAUCGAGGAUUGCAACGAAUACCCUUUUGGGCUAUCCGCCUGAUCUCUGAUACGUGGCCUUGGUAUCGAAAGCGUGCUUAUGGUAUUGAGGUAUUACGGUCAAAAGGUUAGAACGGAUUACAUUCGUUAAGGAUGUUGACGUA
rnacentral:rRNA from 1 species